GCGGCAAGGACCAAAGAGCCCUGUGCCUCACACAGCGCAGGGCGCGCUGCACACCUGGCACCGGAGACUCACCAUCUGUUCAGAGCUGCCUCCUGGGCCCAGGGGUGUGGCCAGGAAAGAUAAGAGUACCCGUGGCAGCGACGACUCCACACCAACUGCCACUUCAACUGCCAAUCAACGUAGUGUUCGAAAGCUGCCCCAAAUGACAGCACUUGAGGCAGACUGGAAGACUGACAUCCAGGUGCUGAAAUCUCAGGCACACAAGAGAGGUGGCAGCUGCUGACAGCAACAGGAAGAGGAAAGUGUGACCCAGUUGGGUGAUGUGGAUGUCAAAGGAGAAGGCGCUUUCAGGAGAGAAGAGAGUCUUCACAUCUAAAAGUACCAGAACGGAGUGGGUGGUGGAUGUAGUGAGCUGAGCUGAGAGCUGACAGGAAAGGGAUUUCUGGCAGAGGAUGCAGACAGACCCUGCAUGACUUUUGG
rnacentral:lncRNA from 1 species